UACGUAGGGCGCAAGCGUUGUCCGGAUUCACUGGGUGUAAAGGGUGCGUAGGCGGGAGAGUAAGUCCGCGGUGAAAUCUCACGGCUCAACCGUGAAACUGCCUUUGAUACUGAGGAUCUUGAGUUCGGGAGAGGUGAGUGGAACUGCGAGUGUAGAGGUGAAAUUCGUAGAUAUUCGCAAGAACACCAGUGGCGAAGGCGGCUCACUGGCCCGAUACUGACGCUGAGGCACGAAAGCGUGGGGAGCAAACAGG
rnacentral:rRNA from 1 species